rnacentral:rRNA from 1 species
UACGUGGGGGGCAAGCGUUGCUCGGAAUUACUGGGCGUAAAGGGCUCGUAGGUGGCCAACUAAGUCAGACGUGAAAUCCCCAGGCUCAACUUGGGAACUGCGUCUGAUACUGGAUGGCUUGAAUUCGGGAGAGGGAUGCAGAAUUCCAGGUGUAGCGGUGAAAUGCGUAGAUAUCUGGAGGAAUACCGGUGGCGAAGGCGGCAUCCUGGACCGAGAUUGACACUGAUGAGCGAAAGCUAGGGGAGCAAACGGG